rnacentral:rRNA from 1 species
AGUGAACGCUGGCGGUAGGCCUAACACAUGCAAGUCGAACGGCAGCACAGGAGAGCUUGCUCUCUGGGUGGCGAGUGGCGGACGGGUGAGGAAUACAUCGGAAUCUACUCUGUCGUGGGGGAUAACGUAGGGAAACUUACGCUAAUACCGCAUACGACCUACGGGUGAAAGCAGGGGAUCUUCGGACCUUGCGCGAUUGAAUGAGCCGAUGUCGGAUUAGCUAGUUGGCGGGGUAAAGGCCCACCAAGGCGACGAUCCGUAGCUGGUCUGAAAGGAUGAUCAGCCAAACUGGAACUGAGACACGGUCCAGACUGCUACGGGAGGCGGCAGUGGGGAAUAUGGGACAAUGGGCGCAAGCCUGAUCCAGCCAUACCGCGUGGGUGAAGAAGGCCUUCGGGUUGUAAGCCCUUUUGUUGGGAAAGAAAUCCAGCUGGCUAAUACCCGGCUGGGAUGACGGUACCCAAAGAAUAAGCACCGGCUAACUUCGUGCCAGCCGCCGCAGUAA